rnacentral:rRNA from 1 species
AUGGAACAAAUUGAUAAAGUGAGAAAUGCGACCCAAGCAGCAAAGGGAUUCGCCUCAAGCUCCGUGGGGCAGCUGGCGAGGAUCGAGGGCCUGGUGUCCGUGGGCUGCAUCCUCGUCGGCAUCCUGGUCGUGUCCAACUCGAGGCGACGCCAUGAAAGCCGCUCCUUGGCUAGGCUCGUCGUCUGGAGCGCCUUCAUGUUCAACUUCCCGGUGAUCUCCUACACCAUCGGCCUCAUGCAGUCGUCGUCCAUCAGGAACGAGCUCUUCGUGGUGUGGGCCUGCUUCCUGCUCCUCCUCCUCGGCAGCGCCGACACCAUGACCGCGUUCAGCUUCAACGACAGCAGCCAGCAGACGAGAUCCAUGAUGAAGCAAGGCCUGCACAUCAUCUACCUGCUGCUUCUCAUACUCUACUACAAAGGUCAGCUCCGCAGCAGCUUCCUCAUCGUUUUGCUUCUGCUCUGGGGCUUGAGCGUCGUAAGGCUAGGCCUGAGGUGUAAGGCAUACCGGUCCACGUGCCGGUCCCGUGGGCUUAUCAGGGAAAACCAGGUCGUGUUCGAGUACAUGAAGAACGAACCGUUGAACAGCCCCGGCAUCCAAGGUGGCACCUACAACCCGGAAACCAUGGAGGGGUACAUCUACCUUGUCGACGGCAAGGAAGUGAAGGAGGUGAAGGCUGGGGAAGAGGUCAUACGCGUGGCUUACCACGAGCCUUAUCGCGUGAAUCUCGACGACGAGUCGGAAACGGAUGAGUCGGAAACCGACGAGUCGGAAACUGUGGACAUCGACGAAACCGAAACCGUGGAGGACAUCGCUGGGACCGAAACGGUGGUGGACGUCGCCGGGACCGAAACGUCGGAAACGGAUGAGUGGGAAACCGACGAGUCGGAAACGGUGGACGUCGAAGAAACUGAAACGGUGGUCGACGUCGUCGGCACCGGCACCGAAACGGUGGUGGACGUCGCCGGGACCGAAACGUCGGAAACCGACGAGUCGGAAACGGUGGACAUUGAAGAAACUGAAACGGUGGUCGACGUCGACGUCGCCGGGACCGAAACGGUGAAUGUCGCCAGAAUCUGGCAAUGCAAAGGGAAGUUGCUGCAAUGUGGCGGCAGCGAUCAAGGCGCUUCGAGGCGGAGAGACCUGUGUCUCUCCUUUGCUCUCUUCAGGCUGCUCAGGCUAAGGUUUGCAGCUGAUCAUGUUGGCAAUAUAAGCUUCCCCUUUCAGUCUGACAAGUGUCGAGAUUUCGUCGUCAAAGGGCUCCUCUCGGAUGAUGAAGAUCUCGACAGAGCAUUCCGGGUAGUCGAGGCAGAGCUUGGGUUCCUCUUUGAUUUCUUUUAUGCUCGGUACCCGUCAAUCAAAGACACCCUAACUCCAGAUUUGAUUGUGUAUGCUGCCAUCCUUGCAACCAGCAUAUUUACUCUCUUCUGCCCGGACCUCCUCAAGUACCAGCCUACAGAGACAGAGGGGAAUGCAAACAUCUUGGUCCAUGGCUUCAAUCUUGAUCUUCUCGUCACUCGUUUGGUCAUCGUGUGGUACAUACUUCUUGAGUCGUACCAGUUCCUUUCGCUCUUCAUCUUCUCCGACUGGCACAAGGUGAAGAUGAUGUGCCGGUACGUGCGGAAGGAGUCUUGGCACCGUUCGCUCAUGGAGAUCCCACUAAAGUUCCUGUGCUAUUUCACCUUGUCAAAGUACUGGAAGGGAAGCAUCGGCCAGUACUUCAUCCUCGACAACGCCCAUCCUCACCCGGUCAAGUCCUUCCUGUCAUGUGUAUCACUCGAGGCCCUGGACUCAUCACUGAUGACUAAAUCCAUCAGCUUGCCACUGGAAGUAAGGGAAGCUGUUCUCCGCCAACUCAAGGCCGUUGAGGGCAAGAUCACUGACGGAAGGAUGUGGCUGUUUGAUCAGCGUAUCGUAGACCUGGAUCUCGAUCGCGACUGCUUGCUUGGCCACACGUAUGCCAGCUACAUCAUGACAUGGCACAUAGCCACAAGCAUCUGCAGCUACGGCCUGACCUUGCCGAGCAAGAAUAACAAGGCCAGGACAGAGGCGGCAGAGGCAGAGCUGGUGAAGAACCAUGCGGUCGCUACCAAGCUGUCCGGGUACUGUGCGUAUCUGCUGGCCUUCAAACCGGACCUGGUUCCGGACAGCACUUACACAAGCUUGUCGAUGGCCCGUGGCACGCUGCGCAACACCCGUAAGUAUCUUGCCAAGUUCAAGUCCAGCAAGGACAAGUACGAUGAGCUGAUCAAGUUAGGCAAGUUAAAAUCCAAAAAGUACGAGGUCCGCUUCCUGCAUGAGGGCGCAAGGAUCGCCGUUGACCUUGUCGAAAAGAUUGCGAGCGACGAGGAACUUUGGAGGGUGCUCGCCACCUUCUGGGCCAACAUGAUGCUGUGGAUCGGCUCAUCGGACAGAGCAGUGGCACAUGCCACCACGAUGGCAACCGGCGGGGAGUUCAUCACACUCAUAUGGGCUCUGCUCACACAUGCCCACGUUGUGGACAAGCUUCAGCCGCCUGGUGGUGCCCCAGGAUUACAUAUGCAGCUGAAUGAAGAUCAGAAUGGAUAA